CUACGGGGUGCUGCAGUGGGGAAUAUUGCACAAUGGGGGGAACCCUGAUGCAGCAACGCCGCGUGGAGGAUGACGCAUUUCGGUGUGUAAACUCCUUUUAUAUGUCAAGAAAAUGACGGUAGCAUAUGAAUAAGCACCGGCUAACUCCGUGCCAGCAGCCGCGGUAAUACGGAGGGUGCAAGCGUUACUCGGAAUCACUGGGCGUAAAGGACGCGUAGGCGGGUUGGAAGGUCAGGUGUGAAAUCCUACAGCUUAACUGUAGAACUGCACUUGAAACUUCUAAUCUAGAGUAUGGGAGGGGGAGAUGGAAUUAGUGGUGUAGGGGUAAAAUCCGUAGAUAUCACUAGGAAUACCUAAAGCGAAGGCGAUCUCCUGGAACAUUACUGACGCUAAGGCGUGAAAGCGUGGGGAGCAAACAGGAUUAGAUACCCCCGUAGUC
rnacentral:rRNA from 1 species